AGAGAAGCCGGGCAGUUGUCCUUUGGACGUGGAUUACCCACGAUGUGACUCGGUGAAUGUAAACAAUUUGAAGAACGAAUGUUGGACAGAGAGAGACUGCAAGGGGGACAGAAAGUGCUGCUUUUCUGGCUGUCAGAAACAGUGCCUCCUGCCUCUGAAAGGUGUGGAACCUGACACAUAAAACGUACUACUGCCAUGUUUGGAAUGGUCUGAAUGUCACUUAUUGACACAAUAGUCUAUAGUGUACAUAAUGUAACAAAGCACUAAAAUGUGACAAGCUGAGAAUGCCUAUCUAGCAUUAAUGUUGUCUAUGUACUAUAUUGUUAAAGUAUUGUAGCCGUAUUAGUCCAGUGAUGUAGAUGUAAAAAACAGAUAACAUUUGUAUUUUGUAAUACUAUUUUCUAUCAAACCUGUGUCUUAUCUGCGCGUAUGUCGCUCUAACCCCUUUAUCACAACUCAACUUUGAAUCCAAUGUGUCGUCUUGCUCAGAAAUGCUUUAGACUUGAGAAAGCGAGGUUCUCCAGAAAGCUUGCCACUAAAAAAAUGUUGUUAGUUCAAUCAAAAUGAUAUUACAAAUUGUAUCUGUUUUUUACAUCUACUAUAUAGUUACAUAGUAAAAUAGACUGAAAUGGUGUAAACGCCACCAAUUUCAGCC